UUACUUGCAGAAGUUAUGCAUGCAGCGAAGUUUGUUUUGCAACUAAUUAAGACUUCAUGCAAAAAGGGUGUCACAUCCUCCAGGCAAUUUGACUAAGUGUAUAAAAGCAUUUGCUACGUAGAACUCUUCCAAUCACUUUUCUUAACCUCUUCUCCUUAGUGAUCCGGGUCUGGAUCUGCCACAUGUCUCCCUUCAAUGACUGCUGCUUUCCACCAGGGGUGGCAUGCCCGGAGCCCUUCGCCGUCACCUCCAAUGAGACCUGUGUCAUAAAAUACCCUGAUACCGUAGUGGACAUAGCGGAGCCUGACUUUCCACCGUAUUCCGUGAUCUAUCCUGGCCCAACACUCACCACUUUCCCUCAGCAAACUCUAGUGGGAACCACUGCAUUGUUCGAUAUCAGAAACUUAUUCAAUUCUAGGGGCUCUCUUGGGUUUAGAGGCAUGUGUGGUUCUGGGACAGCGUGUAACCCAGGAAUUCCAUUUGUUGAUCCAGGAAACUGUAAUCCUCUUUCUGCUCACUUGUCCAACCCCUUUUGCUAUAGAACUUGCAGGCCAAUCUAAAUCCAACACAGAUACCUGCAGAUUAAGUGAAAAGCAGAACUGAACGCUAAGACAGAUCAUGACUAAGUUUAUGGAUAAUGGAUUAUAGAAGUGCCGAGCUCCCACAGUUCCCAGUGGAGUCAACGAAAGUUGUGGCUUCCUGGCACUAAACCUGCAUGAGGACUAGUAUUUCCAAACAAGAAAUUGAAAAUUUCACUUUUGAUUUUAUUCAAAAUUAGGAUGAAAUGAAAAAAAAUUACAGUCGAAUUUUCCGAGAAACAAGAUUUUCAAAAAUAUCUGUUUGGUUUGGUAAAAAAAAGAUGUAUCUCUCAAUAAAUUAAAGUUUGUGUGUCAAUAUUGACUUUUUAUUAUCAAUUUCUUUCAAAAUAAAAGCCAUAAAGUAUUAUGAAA